rnacentral:rRNA from 1 species
CAAUAGCGUAUAUUAAAGUUGUUGCAGUUAAAAAGCUCGUAGUUGGAUUUCUGGUGGGAGCGAUCGGUCUGGCGCUUAGCGCGAGUACUUGCAUCGUCUCCGGCCAUCCUUGGGGAGAGUCUGUCUGGCAUUAGGUUGUCGGGCAGAGGAUCCUCAUCGUUUACUGUGAAAAAAUUAGAGUGUUCAAAGCAGGCUUAUGCCGUUGAAUAUAUCAGCAUGGAAUAAUAAGAUAGGACUUUGGUACUAUUUUGUUGGUUUGCGCACCAAAGUAAUGAUUAAUAGGGACAGUUGGGGGUAUUCGUAUUCCGUUGUCAGAGGUGAAAUUCUUGGAUUUACGGAAGACGAACUACUGCGAAAGCAUUUACCAAGGAUGCUUUCAUUAA